rnacentral:misc_RNA from 1 species
UAAAAGAUAAAAAAAAAUACUUUGUUCAUGAAGCAUGUAGAAUAUGGUCCAAUCUUGUAGAAUUUUACCCAGUUUGUGUUUGUGUUUGCAAUUAUAACCAUCAUAUGAUUCUUCUCAUGCCUUUCCUCGUAAUUCACACUUCACACCCACAUUUUGAUGAGAUGAGGAUUCUGAGAUGAUGUGAUGGAAGCCAUACAGUUGACAAAUAUCUUUAUUGUAUACAUUGCAUCAGCUGUUUGAAAUAUGAAAAGAGCAACAGAAAAUGAAGUUAAUGAAAGUGAAUAUGUUAUUGAUUUAUCUAUUGUCUGAAGCUUAAUAAAUAAAGCUAUAUGGGGUCCAGUUGGGUGACUUACAAUCAGAUGGUUUGGGUUUGGAUCACUGAAAACAAAACCGUAAGCGUAAAUUUUCAACUUAGCUUCUCCUUACUGUUGGCUCUUUUUUUUUAUUUAAAAUAAUAUUGUUACUUUAUAUUUUUAUUCUAUAGAUAGUUUGUUUCUCAUAGAUAUAGUGUUAAGGGAGAUAUUUUUC